rnacentral:tRNA from 1 species
GGAAAUGUAGCUCAAUGGUAAAGCACUUGUCUAGUAUGCACAGGUCCUGGCUUCAAUACCCAGCAUGUUCU